AACACACUAAAGAAAAACCACAACUGAUGAUUUUAAGAGAAUGACUCUAUACUGUAGUCAAAGGAGAUUUUCACAUAGACUUAUUCUGAACAAAAUGCCUCAGGAGUACAUUGUCAACUUUCACUGAAGUGUGAAAACCUGUAGGCAUUAUUAAACCUCUCUUAUGAUGAUCCUUAAGAUUACAAGCCAAAAAAAGAAAAGAAAAAAGAAGUAAGAAAAAAAAGAAGAAGAAAAGGGGACAAAACCAGGCAGUUCAGAGAUGCGGAAGAAAGGAGCUAAGAGAAAUUUUCUGAAGAUAAAGAAAGAAGGUUCUGGUACCAUUACUCGACAACCCAGCUCAGUGUGACAGUUGUAUGAAGACUCCAGAGUCAAGUGAUUGUCCUGUGACCACAUCUGUGAGUCAACGAUUCACACCAGCUUUGCACCCUGAGUUCUUUCUUGCUACAUCUUCUAAACCACAGUAUCAUAUGGCUUCUGCAACAACAAACGCAACACCCUCUAAUAAGCUCCUUUGUAAAUGUCACAUUAUCCACCUGCUUCAAUUACUUUUUAAACCCUUCAAGGUUUAAGAGGCUUAGAAGAAAUAAUGGAGCGCAUUCAGGCUCUUUCUCUUUUGUUUAUCUGUUUGUCUUUCAAGCAUCAAAGCUGAGUUGUUCUGAGGUCUCCUGGAGCUUCUCACCAUGAUCUUUGAUAGGGAAAUGCUUACAUAACUGAUCCAUAAUGUCAAUGAUGGGGAGAUGUUUGCCUUUGUUGAAAAGCAACGCUCCAGGUCAGGAAUUUGGAUGAAAAUGUGACGAAGCAUUACAGAAGCUUCUGGUGGCACCUGAAUUAGAUUGUCCUGCCAUAACUUAUGUAGAUGAUGUCUAUUUGGUACAGUGAUUAGGUUCUAAUUUGUGUUUGUAUGUCAUUUGAUACACAGGUGCUAAUGCCCCUACUAACAUGAAGGUAUAACUGGAAUUCAAACUGCAAGAAACUAAUUUUGGCAUUUGUUCUGAGGAUGCUUUAUGAUAAAAUUUUAUUUUCUGUUGGCCCUUAACAGUCCAGAUGGACUUUUUGCAUUUCUUACAUUGAAAAACAUCACCCAGUCAUUCUGUCAAGUGACAAUACAUCUUCCUGAAAGACAGUCAACUUGAAAUACAGAUAAUUGAAGUGAGGAAUUUUCCACAUUUCCAAUUAACUGCAGUAUUCUACUACCAGUCACUGCAGAUGCAAUUUUUUUUUCUGCAUGAAGAAAUUAAAUUCCACGCUCUUACUUCAUAUGCACUUUCAUGUCAGAUGCUAUUCUGUCAAACUGCCCCUCUGCCGUCUGUCACACAGCAACAACUCAUAAUGGAAUACUGGUGGGAAGGUUCGGUCUCUACUGCCAUACUACCAACAUCUGCCUCCAAUAUCGUGGGCCAGCAUAAUAAAAUAGAGGCAUUACUUUCGGAGCGGCCUUUGUAGUUCCUAUUUUAGUACGUGUGAAAAAGGCUCAUAUUUUUGUUGUCAUGGCUGCCAGUUUUGUUCCCAUAGCACUGUCUGUACGGAUGUGAUUCAUUACCUACAGACACCAGAGCCUUACCCUGUACUGCGUUCUGUAGUUGAGCUGCUUCUCUGUAAUGGAAUGAGUAAAUAUCUCAGAACUGC
ensembl:lncRNA